rnacentral:tRNA from 1 species
GGGGAUGGCAGAAUUGGUCUAUUGCGACUGUCUUAAAAACGGUUUUACUUUAAAAGGUAACGACGGGUUCGAUUCCCUCUCCCUCCG